UACGGAGGGAGCUAGCGUUGUUCGGAAUUACUGGGCGUAAAGCGCGCGUAGGCGGCUUUGUAAGUUAGAGGUGAAAGCCCGGGGCUCAACUCCGGAAUUGCCUUUAAGACUGCAUCGCUAGAAUCCGGGAGAGGUGAGUGGAAUUCCGAGUGUAGAGGUAGAAAUUCGUAGAUAUUCGGAAGAAGCACCAGUGGCGAAGGCGGCUCACUGGACCGGUAGUUGAC
rnacentral:rRNA from 1 species